rnacentral:lncRNA from 1 species
GACUUUCUCAGUUUUUGCAUCGCAUGUGAGGGUUUGUUGGGUGCUCCUAAACCCUCAUCAUGGUCAUUCUUCUUGGCUGGGCUGUUGAUUUAAUUAGGAUUUAUUAGGAGAAAAACCUUCCCGGAAGCUGCAGAAGGACAAAUACAGAAUCCGUGUCUGGGAGAAACCUCGUGGCCUGGUCUCCAUUAUUUGAGAUGAGUUACAUCUUGGAGGUGAGGACGUGCCUCGUGGUCUAAAGCUUCGGCACAAGGGCCCAACUGGAAUUCCACUUACGGGCCUGAUCUUUUGGCCAGAAGGAGAUUAAAAAGAUGCCCCUCAAGAUGGCUGUGCCUGUCAGCUGCAUGGAGCUUCGUUCAAGUAUUUUCUGAGCCUGAUGGAUUUACAGUGAUCUUCAGUGGUCUGGGGAAUAACGCUGGUGGAACCAUGCACUGGAAUGACACACGCCCGGCACAUUUCAGGAUACUAAAAGUGGUUUUAAGGGAGGCUGUGGCUGAAUGCCUCAUGGAUUCUUACAGCUUGGAUGUCCAUGGGGGACGAAGGACUGCAGCUGGCUGAGAGGGUUGAGAUCUCUGUUUACUUAGAUCUCUGCCAACUUCCUUUGGGUCUCCCUAUGGAAUGUAAGACCCCGACUCUUCCUGGUGAAGCAUCUGAUGCACGUUCCAUCCGGCGCUCAGCUGGGCUUGAGAUUCCUGGGAACACCACCAUGGAGGGCCUGGCCUUUGGCGGUGGACAGUCUGUGGCUGGGUGGGAACGUCAGGAGUGGGGCCUGCCUCUUUGCUGGGAAUGCCGUGCACUCCCAGCCCACUUGCCCCAUGCCAGCACUCGAGGCAGGACUUCGCAGGUGAGCAGUAACGGAAAUCAGCCCCGUUUAUUCCUCCCAGCACCUGCCUUAUCCAACUCCCCACGCUGUGGCUGAGUCCCAGCCUGCUAUGGAAGCAUCACUGGACUCCCAUUGAACUCUGUGCAGAUUCGCUGUUCGUAGACAUGGUACCUGAUGGACACCAAGCUACGUACAGCUUCAAGGCCCCUUCUUUCUUUGCUAAUAAAAAAUAAAAAAUAAAAACAUAA